rnacentral:hammerhead_ribozyme from 1 species
AUCCAGCUGACGAGUUUCAAAUAGGACGAAACGCGUGUCCUGGAU